AUGUUGCCAUGGCUGCUCGGGACCUUCUUCUGCCAAGAUUCAGCUCCGUCCUCCACGCCCGACAAAGCCUGCACCGCCGCGCGCCUGCAUCCGCGACGAAGACGACGUCGAUGGCUCCUGCUUCCCCUGCCGUGUGGCCCGCCGGAUCCGCCGUCUGCCCGCUCCUCGUCGGAGUGCCUUGCAAGCGCCUCGACCUCUCCCGGGACGCCGAUCCGCGCCUCCCUCUGUCCCCUGCAUCGCCUCGUCGCCGGAGUAGAAGCUCCGUUCGCCAAGCGCCGCACCCCUGCUUCGUUUCGCUGCGGGAGGAGCUGCGUCGCCCCUCUGCUGCUGCUUCCUUGGACGAGCGCCCUCGCCUGGGCAUGUUGGUCCCUGCCGCUGACCUCUUCUUCCUCUGCAACGAGCAGAGCGCAGCCGCUCGCCCCGUUGACCAUGCCUGCUCAUCCGCGCCCCUGGGCCGCCUCCACCGACAAUCGCCAAGGCCCAGGCGCUUCCUCCCCAGCCAGCCUCCUUCACCAACGGGCCGAAGCCCAUGGUGACUUCUUUGAUGGGAAAGAACCAAACCGUGAAGCUACUGCGGGUGAGUUGAAGAUGUUGCAAUACAAUGCUCAAGCUUGUGAUGUUCUCUUCAACGGAUUGUGCCCCGAAGAAUUCAACAAAAUCAGCCGUCUUGAGAAUGCAAAGGAAAUUUGGGACACUUUGAUUGAUAUGCAUGAAGGUACCGACUCCGUCAAGGAAUGCAAGUUGGAUGUGCUUCAAAGUCAACUUGACAAGUUCAAAAUGAAGGAUGGUGAAGGUGUCGCUGAAAUGUACUCUAGGCUUGCUCUCAUCACAAAUGAGAUUGCCGGCUUAGGAAGUGAAGAGAUGAUCGAUAGAUUCAUCAUCAAGAAGAUUCUAAGAGCCUUGGAUGGAAAAUAUGAUACCGUGUGCACAUUGAUCCAAAUGAUGCCCAAUUACAAAGAUCUCAAGCCAACAGAGGUGAUUGGAAGAAUUGUUGCUCAUGAGAUGUCACUUAAGGAUAAAGAGGAACUUCACAACAAAUAA
rnacentral:rRNA from 1 species